ACCUGGCUGGCUCAGUCAAUAGACCAUGAGAUUCUUGAUCUCGGGGUUGUGAGUUCGAACCCCAUGUUGGGUG
rnacentral:tRNA from 1 species